rnacentral:rRNA from 1 species
AGGUUAACCGUAUAGGGGAGCCGUAGGGAAACCGAGUCUUAACUGGGCGAAUGAGUUGCAGGGUAUAGACCCGAAACCCGGUGAUCUAUCCAUGGGCAGGUUGAAGGUUGGGUAACACUAACUGGAGGACCGAACCGACUAAUGUUGAAAAAUUAGCGGAUGACUUGUGGAUGGGGGUGAAAGGCCAAUCAAACCGGGAGAUAGCUGGUUCUCCCCGAAAGCUAUUUAGGUAGCGCCUCGUGAACUCAUCUUCGGGGGUAGAGCACUGUUUCGACUAGGGGGUCAUCCCGACUUACCAACUCGAUGCAAACUGCGAAUACCGAAGAAUGUUAUCACGGGAGACACACGGCGGGUGCUAACGUCCGUCGUGAAGAGGGAAACAACCCAGACCGCCAGCUAAGGUCCCAAAGUCAUGGUUAAGUGGGAAACGAAGUGGGAAGGCUCAGACAGCCAGGAUGUUGGCUUAGAAGCAGCCAUCAUUUAAAGAAAGCGUAAUAGCUCACUGGUCGAGUCGGCCCGCGCGGAAGAUGUAACGGGGCUAAACCAUGCACCGAAGCUGCGGCAGCGACACAAAGUGUUGUUGGGUAGGGGAGCGUUCUGUAAGCCUGCGAAGGUGUACUGUGAGGUAUGCUGGAGGUAUCAGAAGUGCGAAUGCUGACAUAAGUAACGAUAAUGCGGGUGAAAAACCCGCACGCCGGAAGACCAAGGGUUCCUGUCCAACGUUAAUCGGGGCAGGGUGAGUCGACCCCUAAGGCGAGGCUGAAAAGCGUAGUCGAUGGGAAACGGGUUAAUAUUCCCGUACUGGUGGUAACUGCGAUGGGGGAACGGAGAAGGCUAGGUUGUCCGGGCGACGGUCGUCCCGGUUCAAGCAGGUAGGCAGAGUGAUUAGGCAAAUCCGGUCACUUAAUGCUGAGAUGUGAUGACGAACCACCAAGGUGGUGAAGCAAUUGAUGCCCCGCUUCCAGGAAAAGCCUCUAAGCUUCAGGUUACCAACAAUCGUACCCCAAACCGACACAGGUGGUCAGGUAGAGAAUACUCAGGCGCUUGAGAGAACUCGGGUGAAGGAACUAGGCAAAAUGGUGCCGUAACUUCGGGAGAAGGCACGCUGGCGGUAGGUAAAGUCCCUUGCGGACGGCGCUGAAGCCAGUCGAAGAUACCAGCUGGCUGCAACUGUUUAUUAAAAACACAGCACUGUGCAAACACGAAAGUGGACGUAUACGGUGUGACGCCUGCCCGGUGCUGGAAGGUUAAUUGAUGGGGUUAGCCGCAAGGCGAAGCUCCUGAUCGAAGCCCCAGUAAACGGCGGCCGUAACUAUAACGGUCCUAAGGUAGCGAAAUUCCUUGUCGGGUAAGUUCCGACCUGCACGAAUGGCGUAAUGAUGGCCAGGCUGUCUCCACCCGAGACUCAGUGAAAUUGAACUCGCUGUGAAGAUGCAGUGUACCCGCGGCAAGACGGAAAGACCCCGUGAACCUUUACUAUAGCUUGACACUGAACAUUGAGCCUUGAUGUGUAGGAUAGGUGGGAGGCUUUGAAGUGUGGACGCCAGUCUGCAUGGAGCCAACCUUGAAAUACCACCCUUUAACGUUUGAUGUUCUAACCUAGGCCCAUAAACUGGGUCGGGGACCGUGUCUGGUGGGUAGUUUGACUGGGGCGGUCUCCUCCUAAAGAGUAACGGAGGAGCACGAAGGUUGGCUAAGCAUGGUCGGACAUCAUGCGGUUAGUGCAAAGGCAUAAGCCAGCUUGACUGCGAGAGUGACGGCUCGAGCAGGUACGAAAGUAGGUCUUAGUGAUCCGGUGGUUCUGAAUGGAAGGGCCAUCGCUCAACGGAUAAAAGGUACUCCGGGGAUAACAGGCUGAUACCGCCCAAGAGUUCAUAUCGACGGCGGUGUUUGGCACCUCGAUGUCGGCUCAUCACAUCCUGGGGCUGAAGUAGGUCCCAAGGGUAUGGCUGUUCGCCAUUUAAAGUGGUACGCGAGCUGGGUUUAGAACGUCGUGAGACAGUUCGGUCCCUAUCUGCCGUGGGCGUUGGAAGAUUGAGAGGGGUUGCUCCUAGUACGAGAGGACCGGAGUGAACGCACCACUGGUGUUCGGGUUGUCAUGCCAAUGGCAUUGCCCGGUAGCUAAGUGCGGAAGAGAUAACCGCUGAAAGCAUCUAAGCGGGAAACUUGCCUCGAGAUGAGUCUUCCCUGUCGCUUUAAGCGACCUAAAGGAACGUUUAAGACUAAGACGUUGAUAGGCUGGGUGUGUAAGCGUAGCGAUACGUUGAGCUAACCAGUACUAAUGAACCGUGAGGCUUAACCUG